UGGAAGUAAAAGUCGUAACAAGGUCUCCGUUGGUGAACCAGCGGAGGGAUCAUUACUGA
rnacentral:rRNA from 1 species